rnacentral:rRNA from 1 species
AUUGAACGCUGGCGGCAGGCCUAACACAUGCAAGUCGAGCGAGCGGCGGACGGGUGAGUAAUGUCUGGGAAACUGCCUGAUGGAGGGGGAUAAAUACUGGAAACGGGAGCUAAUACCGCCUACAAUCAGAUGUGCCCAGAUGGGAUUUGCUAGUAGGUGGGGUAACGGCUCACCUAGGCGACGCUCCCUAGCUGGUCUGAGAGGAUGACCAGCCACCCGGGAACGCAGACAGGGUCCAGACUCCUACGUGAGGCACAAGUGGGAAUUAUUGCACAAUGGGCGAAAGCCUGAUGCAGCAAGGCCGCGUUUGUGAAGAGGGCCUUCGGGUUUUAAAGCACUUUGAGCGGGGAGGCGUUACCCGCAGAAGAAGCAACGGCUAACUCCGUGCCAGCAGCCGCGGUAAUAC